rnacentral:snRNA from 1 species
GUGCUUGCCUCAGAGCACAUAUACUAAGAUUGGAACAAUACAAAGGAGAUUAGCAUGGCCUUUGUGCAAGGAUCACAUACAUUUUCAUGAAGCUUUCCACCAGUAA